rnacentral:rRNA from 1 species
AUUGAAUGCUGGCGGCAGGCCUAACACAUGCAAGUCGAACGGUAGCACAGAGAGCUUGCUCUCGGGUGACGAGUGGCGGACGGGUGAGUAAUGUCUGGGAAACUGCCCGAUGGAGGGGGAUAACUACUGGAAACGGUAGCUAAUACCGCAUAACGUCGCAAGACCAAAGUGGGGGACCUUCGGGCCUCACACCAUCGGAUGUGCCCAGAUGGGAUUAGCUAGUAGGUGGGGUAAUGGCUCACCCAGGCGACGAUCCCUAGCUGGUCUGAGAGGAUGACCAGCCACACUGGAACUGAGACACGGUCCAGACUCCUACGGGAGGCAGCAGUGGGGAAUAUUGGACAAUGGGGGGAACCCUGAUCCAGCCAUGCCGCGUGUGUGAAGAAGGCCUUAUGGUUGUAAAGCACUUUAAGCGAGGAGGAGGCUCUUUUGGUUAAUACCCAAGAUGAGUGACGUUACUCGCAGAAUAAGCACCGGCUAACUCUGUGCCAGCCGCCGCGGUAA